CCUACGGGCGGCAGCAGUGAGGAAUAUUGGUCAAUGGCCGAGAGGCUGAACCAGCCAAGUCGCGUGAGGGAAGAAUGUCCUAUGGAUUGUAAACCUCUUUUGUCAAGGGACAAAAUCCCCCACGAGAGGGUGAUGGAGGGUACUUGAAGAAAAAGCAUCGGCUAACUCCGUGCCAGCAGCCGCGGUAAUACGGAGACUGCGGGCGUUAUCCGGAUUUAUUGGGUUUAAAGGGUGCGUAGGCGGGUUAUCAAGUCAGCGGUAAAAUCGUGGAGCUCAACUCCAGCCAGCCGUUGAAACUGAGUAUCUUGAGUGGGCGAGAAGUAUGCGGAAUGCGUGGUGUAGCGGUGAAAUGCAUAGAUAUCACGCAGAACUCCGAUUGCGAAGGCAGCAUACCGGCGCCCGACUGACGCUGAAGCACGAAAGCGUGGGUAUCGAACAGGAUUAGAUACCCUGGUAGUC
rnacentral:rRNA from 1 species